UACGGAGGGUGCGAGCGUUGUCCGGAAUCACUGGGCGUAAAGGGCGCGUAGGUGGCCGAGCAAGGUCGCGGUGAAAGCCCGGGGCUCAACCCCGGGUCGGCCGUGGCAACUACUGGGCUGGAGCACUGUAGGGGCGGGUGGAAUUCCGGGUGUAGCGGUGGAAUGCGUAGAGAUCCGGAAGAACACCGGUGGCGAAGGCGGCCCGCUGGGCAGUUGCUGACACUGAGGCGCGAAAGCGUGGGGAGCAAACGGG
rnacentral:rRNA from 1 species